UACGGAGGGAGCUAGCGUUGUUCGGAAUUACUGGGCGUAAAGCGCACGUAGGCGGCUUUGUAAGUUAGAGGUGAAAGCCCGGGGCUCAACCCCGGAAUUGCCUUUAAGACUGCAUCGCUUGAAUCCGGGAGAGGUGAGUGGAAUUCCGAGUGUAGAGGUGAAAUUCGUAGAUAUUCGGAAGAACACCAGUGGCGAAGGCGGCUCACUGGACCGGCAUUGACGCUGAGGUGCGAAAGCAUGGGGAGCAAACAGG
rnacentral:rRNA from 1 species